rnacentral:rRNA from 1 species
UUUAGUCAGGCAACGAGCGAGACCCGCACUCUUAAUUGCCAGCAGCAGUUUCGACUGGCUGGGUACAUUAGGAGGACUGCCAGUGCCAAACUGGAGGAAGGAACGGGCAACGGUAGGUCAGUAUGCCCCGAAUGAGCUGGGCUACACGCGGGCUACAAUGGUCGAGACAAUGGGAAGCCACCUCGAGAGAGGGCGCUAAUCUCCGAAACUCGAUCGUAGUUCGGAUUGUGGGCUGAAACUCGCCCACAUGAAGCUGGAUUCGGUAGUAAUCGCGUCUCAGAAGGGCGCGGUGAAUACGUCCCUGCUCCUUGCACA